CGACGUCUAGUAGCCGAUGGGGUCCUUAGUGACUUUCGUGGCUCAGCUAACGCGAUAAGUAGUCCGCCUGGUGAGUACGGCCGCAAGGUAAACCUCAAAUGAAUGACGGGGGCCCGCACAAGCGGCGCGCAUGUGGUAUAAUUCGAUGCAACGCGAAGAUCCUGCCAGGCCUUGACAUCGUGCGAACUCUCUAGAGAUAGAUUGGUGCCUUCGGGAUCGCAGUGACAGGUGCUGCAUGGCUGUCGUCAGCUCGCGUCGUGAGAUGUUGGGUUAAGUCCCGUAACGAGCGCAACCCUCGUCCUUAGUUGCCAGCACUUCGGGUGGGAACUCUAGGGAGACAGCCGGUGACAAACCGGAGGAAGGUGGGGACGACGUCAAGUCAUCAUGGCCCCUACGGCCUGGGCUACACACGUGCU
rnacentral:rRNA from 1 species